rnacentral:rRNA from 1 species
UGAACGCUGGCGGCGUGCUUAACACAUGCAAGUCGAACGGAAAGGCCAGUGCUUGCACUGGUACUCGAGUGGCGAACGGGUGAGUAACACGUGGGUGAUCUGCCCUGCACUUCGGGAUAAGCCUGGGAAACUGGGUCUAAUACCGGAUAGGACAAUGGUUUGGAUGCCGUUGUGGAAAGUUUUUUCGGUGUGGGAUGAGCUCGCGGCCUAUCAGCUUGUUGGUGGGGUAAUGGCCUACCAAGGCGUCGACGGGUAGCCGGCCUGAGAGGGUGUACGGCCACAUUGGGACUGAGAUACGGCCCAGACUCCUACGGGAGGCAGCAGUGGGGAAUAUUGCACAAUGGGCGCAAGCCUGAUGCAGCGACGCCGCGUGGGGGAUGACGGCCUUCGGGUUGUAAACUCCUUUCGCUAGGGACGAAGCGUAUUUGUGACGGUACCUGGAGAAGAAGCACCGGCUAACUACGUG